UUCUUAAUCAAUGACUGAUGUGAGAGGGC
rnacentral:piRNA from 1 species